rnacentral:rRNA from 1 species
UCCGUAGGUGGCGAGCGUUGUCCGGAUUUACUGGGCGUAAAGGGCGUGCAGGCGGUCUGCUAAGUUUGGGGUGAAAGCUCCCGGCUCAACUGGGAGAGGUCCUUGAAUACUGGCAGACUCGAGGGAGGUAGAGGAGAGUGGAAUUCCCGGUGUAGUGGUGAUAUGCGUAGAUAUCGGGAGGAACACCUGUGGCGAAGGCGGCUCUCUGGGCCUUACCUGACGCUGAGACGCGAAAGCGUGGGGAGCGAACCGG